rnacentral:misc_RNA from 1 species
UUCUGCUGGUGCACCCUCGCGGGCUGCACGUGGGCGCACAAAAAAAAAACAUUAGCUUCGUUUCUCAACUAGAGCAAGUACAACUGAUUGUGAUUAUAGAUAAGCGUAAGCUAAUGCAGCUACUGAUGUGCUAGUAAAUUCUUCUAUAAUCACAACUGAUUGUGAUUAUAGAUAAUAAAGCACAAAAAAGGACAGCAUGCAUGUGCAAGUACAGAUUUUAGUAUUUCGCGUUUAGUUUAGUGGGAAUGUUUAAUGGUUCUGGUAGAGCAACAUGUUUCAUAUAAAAUUCUGAUCACGAGGGAAUGGAAUUUGGACUAAUAUUACUAUUGACCACUUGCAAAUCCAAACUGGAUACUAUAGGCUAUAGCAGAAUAGUCGUCUUGGAUGGAGGCCUCGGACCAAGACUUUUCCACGUUGGAGAAAGCGAAGAAAGUUCUUCCUUCUUCGAAAAACUUAUGAACACCAAGGUCAAGGUGCGCUCUUCCAAUUCAAUCAAGCAACAUCAGCAAGCGGGUCCGAUCCGAAGGCGAGCAUGCACAGGCACAUCACACGCAGAGGCAGGGGAGAGCAGAGAACAGAGAGGCUUUGCGAAUUCAAAGACAGCACGGGGCCGAGGUGCUUACCACGGCGUCAUUCCUGGCGGACGC